rnacentral:misc_RNA from 1 species
CACAAUAAAUAGAAGCGCCAGUCUGUGAACGUCGCUCCUCUUAGUCGAUACCUUGUUGUCAGACAGUAAGGUUAUAAACAUUCGGUUAUUUUGUUUAAACCUUGACACCAGAUCUGAGAGAUGAACGAAGAGGAUUUACACUUGGCCAAAGCGAUUGCCAGUAUGGACAUACCUUCCUCGGAUCCGCCCGACGCGAAGAAGACCCUUGUCAGCAGGGUCCAGGAGAAAAUACAAAACUUCAGCGGCACCCAACCUCCUCAACCAAACCAAGAAGAGGAGAGCUCCGGAUCUUCAGGCGCUUCGCCAGAUACUUCAAGGAGAACAAGAUCUCUGAAUGCUCCAAGCCCGGUUCCACAAUUUGGCCCUUGCGGCCGCAUUCUAAAAAAUUCCGCAAUGGUCAUCACAAUACAGGAUCCUGCAAGUCAGAGGCUAACCUGGUACAAGCCUCCGCUGACCGUACUGGUCAUAAAGAAAGUGCGGGAUGUAUCAGUAUUGCAGCCAUUUGUUCAAUUAGUUCAUUGGCUCAUACAGGAGAAAUGUAUGGUGGUCUUUGUGGAGCAAUCAGUAAUGGAAGACACAUUGUUACUUAAUAAUGGAGAAUUCGGAAGGGUGAAGGAUAAGUUAAUGACUUUCCGGGAUGGAAAAGAUGACUUAACUGAUAAAAUUGACUUCAUCAUUUGUUUAGGAGGUGAUGGAACAUUGCUUUAUGCGAGUUUACUUUUCCAACAAUCAGUACCACCUGUCAUGGCCUUUCAUCUUGGUUCUCUUGGCUUUCUCACACCGUUCCGAUUUGACAACUUUCAAGAGCAAGUCACAAAUGUAUUGGAAGGACAUGCCGCUCUCACUCUCAGGAGUAGGCUCAGAUGCAUAAUAGUCAGAAAGAAUGAGGAUGACAUUAAAAAACCACCGACUAAUUUAUUGGUCCUCAAUGAAGUUGUUGUGGAUCGAGGACCGUCACCUUACCUAUCAAACAUAGAUCUAUAUUUAGAUGGAAAACUCAUCACUUCAGUACAAGGAGACGGACUGAUUGUUUCCACUCCAACAGGAAGCACAGCUUAUGCUGUAGCCGCAGGGGCUUCUAUGAUCCAUCCGAGCGUUCCAGCUAUAAUGGUGACGCCCAUAUGCCCACAUUCUCUUUCUUUUAGGCCCAUAGUUGUACCAGCAGGUGUUGAAUUGAAGAUCUCUGUGUCUCCAGAUAGUCGCAAUACAUCUUGGGUUUCAUUCGAUGGGAGAAACCGGCAGGAGUUAUUCCAUGGGGAUAGGUCAUGUUGAACUCGGGAGCCCGAAACACUGCCUGGGUUAGUUUCGAUGGGAGAAAUCAACAGGAGCUGAAAGUUGGAGAUAGCCUUACAGUUACAACUUC